rnacentral:misc_RNA from 1 species
UGGAGAAAAUCCCAGGGUUGAUGUAAGUACAAUGUAGCUAUUGUUUGCUAUCUUCCUGUUAAAAUUGACAUAAUGAAGCAAUAUAAAAAAUGGUGUUCUCAAUAAGAGGGACAUUUAAGGUUCAAGGAUGGCACCAUAGAGGUGCUUUGGCAUAAACAACUUGAUCUUCUAAAUAUUGAAUUUAUUCUAGUGUAUGAUUUUGCUUUUUCCUGAAGUUUUCUGAUUGCAUUUGGAAAACAAAAGUUUAAGAGGAGACAUGGG